CACCUAUGAUUCUCAGCGUGUGUGCAGGGCUCUGACUGCGCAGGGGAAUACAAAUUGGACAGUCGUGUUAUGGCAAUAAUAACAGGAAUGAAGAUGUCAGGAUUCAGGAUGAUUGCAUGCAUUUCGAUUUAAAAGGGCAGCAGGUUCUAAUGUAACCUGAGUUUGUGUUCAGGGAGAUGCUGGGUUCAUCCGAUCUCCUCUCACAAUGACACAACUUCUCAGUGCUCCCCUGCUCAAGUGUCCCACUUUAUCAUGAAGAGUCUGUGUCGGUGUCGAGCUAAAUGAAAACUAUAAUGUAGAUGUCUACAGAAAACCAGCAUUUCAGGCUAAUCAGACAAGAUGGAUUUUAUAACUCAAUUAGACAAAUCUGAGAUGAACUGUAUAUAUCUGAGAGCGUUUAAGAUGAAUGUAUGAGGCAAACCAUGGAAAAUCAAGAGGGGUUGGAGUCUACCCCAGGUGUAGAUGUCGGUACGGAUGUAAAUGGAGAACCGAACAGGAACAGCACACAUAUAGAUUCACAGGGGGCAGUAAAACAGAGAAUAGAGGUAGUCUCUGUAACAGAGGAAGAUAUUCCUGCUAUCGAUACCCAAAACACGAUCAACAUUAGUCCUCUGGACAGUCAAAGUGCCAGUACACCAAACAGCAGCACUGUCAAACCAGCAUCAGUAGACAGCAAAGACUCUCAAAACAAUGCUUCUACCCAGCCCAGCUCUUCAAUGCCAGUUACCAAAGUCCAACCCCUUGUUACAGAUGAAGAGAAAACAUUACGUGGGAGUCUGUUUGCACGCCGGUUUGAGAUACUUAUUGGGGCUUGUGUCCUGCUCGUCGCUAUCUUUGUGUUGGGCAUUGGAUUGGGAGUUGGCUUGAAUUGUGUGGGGAAGUUUCGAUGUGGUUCGUCUGGAUGUAUUAGCAUGUCUGCUCAGUGUAAUGGGAAUGUAGACUGUGAGCAUGGUGAAGAUGAGCUCAGUUGUGUGCGUUUGAGUGGUAAGAGCUCUGUACUUCAGGUACUCAAUGAUGGAGUUUGGAGGACUGUUUGUGCUGACGGCUGGACUGAUGACCUGUCACUCUCUGCUUGCAGACAGCUUGGUUACUCAAGAUAUGUGGAGUCAAAUCCGCUUCCUCUAUCUUCUAUUGAACGGGACUUGCAAAGUAACCUGGUGUCAAUAAGUCUGAACAAAACAAGUUCCAAACAACCCAUCAAGAUACACAGCUUUACUAAUAUCAGUAAAACCCAGUGCACUUUGGGGAGGGUAACAACUCUGAAGUGUAUAGCUUGUGGCUCCAGACCUCAGUUCAAUGCUCGCAUAGUUGGUGGAAAUCUGUCAGUUGAGGGCCAGUUUCCCUGGCAGGCCAGCUUACAUUUUAAGGGGGAACAUCUGUGUGGAGGGUCCGUCAUUACAUCUCGAUGGAUACUGACUGCUGCACAUUGUGUGUACGGAUUCGCCUUUCCUUCGUCUUGGACAGUGAAUGUGGGAUUGAUAGAGCAGCCGUUGAAUAAAGCGAAUUCCAUUGCAGUGGAAAAGAUCAUCUAUCACAGCCGCUACAGACCCAAAGGCUUGGACUAUGAUAUUGCUCUGCUUAAACUGGAGCAGCCUCUCGACUUCAAUGGUUUUGUUGAGCCUAUCUGCCUACCAAACUUUGGGGAGCAAUUUGAGGAUGGAAAAAUGUGUUGGAUCUCCGGAUGGGGAGCCACAGAGGAUGGCGGUGACGUGAGUGUGUCUAUGCAUUCAGCACCAGUACCAUUAAUCUCCAUGAAGGCCUGCAGUCAACCAGAUGUUUACCAAGGCUACAUAUCACCAGGCAUGAUUUGCGCAGGGUACUUAGAAGGUGGCACAGACUCCUGCCAGUUUUGUGUUGGUGACAGGGUGACAGCGGUGGUCCUCUGGCUUGCGAGGAUUCCUCGAUUUGGAAAUUAGCAGGGGCCACGAGCUGGGGUCAGGGCUGUGCAGAAAAGAACAAACCUGGCGUUUAUACCCGCAUCACACAAUAUCUUACCUGGAUACGUCUGCAGAUGGAGAGAGAAGAAAUGCUAAAUCCUACAACUACCAGCUAUGAUUAUUCAAACGACUUUGUAUAAUUUGUAAUUUCACACGAAAAACUACGUAACUACGUGAUAUAAUGUAUAUGGGCCAUUUCACCGAAUCGGUGUUUCCUCAGGACAUUACCUAUAAAAAUGCAAGCCAGCUCUUAAAACACAUAUUAUUAUUAUACUAAGUGCCCUGCAUGUUAAUCUAACAUCAAAUUUAAGCUAUUUAUUUUAAAAUAUAUACUACAUAGAACCCUGAAAAACACCAUUUGUUAUCUAUCCCUGCUAUAUUUUACCUUUAAAUAUAAAGCAUAAAAUUCUUCAGAUAUAUUUCUGUUUUUUUAUAUAUGCAUUUCUGUGUGUGUCCAUAUCCCAUCUUUGCAUUUAAUAUUUUUACCAUUAAAAAAGUAAUAUUUCAGAUAAAAUUUAUUUUAUUUAUAUUCCAGGAAUUUUACUCAGUCCAACAUGUUCCCCCUAUAAAAAUCUAGAAAUAUUUUUCAAGUCACAUUUUUAAAGAGGUAAUUGCAUCAUCUGGAUCUUCUGAAGGCCACGUGAAGAUCAAGUGUUAUUUUUUUCGUUUUCAUUUCUGUAUAUUUUAUUAUAUUGAUGAUAUGACUGUGAAUGUCAAUCUUAAUGUUCUGUCCUGCUACCUAUAUUAUUUCAGUGAUGUUAUGUUUAUUUAAAUAUACACAUUUUUGGUAAAUCACUAGAAUUUGCUCAGUGUCUUUGUUCUAUUGGGACUUAGGACAAUGCCAGUAUA